GAGGGUCAGAGGGAGAGUGAGAAUCUUAAGCAGGCUCCGCCCCCAGCUCAGAAUCCCUUGGGUCUGGAUCUCACCACCCUGAGAUCAUGACCUGAGCCGAAAUUAAGAGUCUGGCACUUACCUGACUGAGCCCCUCUAAGGGGUACCCCUCUAAGGCCUAUUAUUUAUUAUUUAGUUUUGUUGUUUAAAUACUUUUAGACAACAAAGAAUUUUUGGGAAAGGCAAUAGUGAACCAUAUUUUAUAUUUAAAAACCAACCACCAGAGUCAAGCUAUAAAGAAAGGGGGGGGGGUGAAUGCCAGCAGGUGGUAAUAUUAGAAUAGAAUAUAGAAAUUGUUGAAUCUCCAAUAGCACAAUUGUAUGUUUUCUUCUACAUGAUAAUUUUUAAAGCAAAAUGUUAAGGGUGCAGAAAUAGUAGGGAAGGAAAUCCUUGAAACAGCAAGCUAUUUAGAAAUGUAAAGGGUUUUAAUUGCAUUCUCAACUUGGAAAUUUUUUUAAAAUGCCCAAGUUGUUUUAUUUAUUUAGUAAUGAAAGCCAUAUCACACAUGAAGAGAGUCUAGUUAUUUGCUUCUUCAAGGAUUUUUUUCCCCAAAAAGUACUGUAUUGUGGACCACACUGCAGAAGCUCUGCGUAAGGAAUAAUGUCUGAUUCACCUAUGCUUACAACGUAGAGGAACAAACAAAUUUAUAUUAGAUGUGGAUAAUUCCAUCUAGCAAGUUGUAGUGGAAACAGUAGGGUCUUUGGUGUCAGACUGAAGUUUGAAAUCUGUUUCUGUGUCUUUCUAGUUUUAUGGCCUAAGGCAAGACAGCUAUUAUCUCGUCAUCACAUUCCUCAUCUGUGAAAUAGCAAUCAUGAUAACAACCUUCCCAAACUGAUGUGAGCAUCACAUGGAAUCACAUGGAAGUAGGUGCUCAGGAUAGCUGCUGGAAUUGUUAUAUUGCAGAAGGCAAAAAUCAAUUUUAUAAUAGGGAGAUUGUUCUCAUACUGCAACUUCAUGCCCAUCUCAGAACAAACACAAUCUGCAUUCAGAACAGGACCAUUUACAAGUUCAAUGGAGUUAUUUUGGGGAACUUGCUAGAAAGCUGUUGAAACCAGUGAGGUAGAAGAAGAAGAAACUGGACAAAUAAACUACAAUUCUUUAUCUUGGCUCUAUUCAACCUUGUCCCUAUUGACCAGUCUUUGAGGAAAAAGUAUCUAGCACCAAACUAAUAGAGAAUGUCAACUAAAGAAGAAACCAAUAAUUUCAUCAAUGACCACUGAGGAAUAAGCUAUAAAACAGAACAGACCAAGAUCAAAGAUGGUUGAAGGAAAAGGGAUUUGAGAUCUUCGGAUCUACUGUAACAUAAGUACAAAAGUAGGGUUGGUAUCGUAUUCACUACUGAAUUUCCAACAUAAAACUGUUUCUGGAACAAGAUAGGUACUGAGUAAAUAUCUAUAGAAUGAAUGGAUGUUUGUUGAAGAGUGACUUUGGACACAAAAUCAGGAACACAGCAAGUAAACAGAAGAUAUUGUCUUGCCUUAAUGAAUCCUUCCUUAUCCAUGAGUAGAAGCAAUGAGGGAAAUACUCUACAAGCACUGAUCAGUAAUGUGGAUAGAACAUGGGCUUAACAAUAAUGUGACCAUUGUCAUUUUGGUACUGGUCAUAAGUAAGGAAAAGAAAAGUGGACAAUCCAGUCGGAUCAUGAUUCCUACGCUUUACACAGGCAGAGUUCAGAAAGUUCAAUUAAAAAUUAAGUGUCAUCCUAUAGGCCAAUAUGAUAAAUAAAAUGAAAAGGCACAUGGGAUUUCAGGACAUUCUGAAAACAAAAAUUCUAACCUGUAAUCAUGCAUUUAGCUACAAUAAGGUAGGUGAGACCUGUAAAGCAGGGCUUCUCAAUCUCAGCAUUAUUGACAUUUGGAAUCCCAUACUUCUUUGCUGUAGGGAGUGUCCUGUGCAUUUUAGGAUGUUUAGCAGCAUCCUUGUCCUCUAUCCACUAGAUCCUGAGUACCUUACCCCCUUUGUUGCAGUGACCAAAAAAUAUCUUCAGACACUGCCAAAUUGAGAACUGCUCAAAAGGAAGGAAAAGAGAGGCAGCAGUCUCAGGUUUUAGAAAUAUUUCUAAGCAAAAAAAGAAACUUGUAAGAGUUGUUCAAAAUCAUAUCAUUACAGUUGAGAAGUUAAAAAUCUCAGUUUUAACAAAAACUUUAAGGACAAAAGAAAGGAAUAUUCCUAGUGCCUUAUGAGAAGAAGGUAA